CCGGGGUAGGAGUAAACGACGUGAGGAACCUGCCUCAAAGAGGGGGACAACAGUUGGAAACGGCUGCUAAUACCGCAUAAGCCCACGGCUCGGCAUCGAGCAGAGGGAAAAGGAGCAAUCCGCUUUGAGAUGGCCUCGCGUCCGAUUAGCUAGUUGGUGAGGUAAUGGCCCACCAAGGCAACGAUCGGUAGCCGGACUGAGAGGUUGAACGGCCACAUUGGGACUGAGACACGGCCCAG
rnacentral:rRNA from 1 species